rnacentral:tRNA from 1 species
GCCUGGUUAGCUCAAUCGGUAGAGCGUGAGACUCUUAGCAGUUCACGUUCUGAAAAGAACGAUUGAUCUCUCUGCAAUCUCAAGGUUGCGGGUUCGACCCCCGCAUCGGGCU